rnacentral:rRNA from 1 species
UCGAGGGGCAGCAGGGAUGUAGCAAUACAUUCGCUGGCGACCGGCAAACGGGUGCGGAACACGUACGCAACUUACCCAAAACUGAGGAGUAGCCCGGGGAAACCCGGAUUAAUACUUCGUAACAUAAUGGAGUGGCAUCACUUUAUUAUUAUAGCUCCGGCGGUUUUGGAUGGGCGUGCGCCUGAUUAGGUAGUUGGCGGGGUAACGGCCCACCAAGCCUGCGAUCAGUAACUGGUGUGAGAGCACGACCAGUCACACGGGCACUGAGACACGGGCCCGACUCCUACGGGAGGCAGCAGUAAGGAAUAUUGGUCAAUGGACGCAAGUCUGAACCAGCCAUGCCGCGUGAAGGAUGAAGGUCCUCUGGAUUGUAAACUUCUUUUAUAUGGGACGAAACCUCUUUUUCUAGAGUGACUGACGGUACCAUAGGAAUAAGCACCGGCUAACUCCGUGCCAGCAGCCGCGGUAAUACGGAGGGUGCAAGCGUUAUCCGGAUUCACUGGGUUUAAAGGGUGCGUAGGAGGGCAGGUAAGUCAGUGGUGAAAUCUCCGAGCUUAACUUGGAAACUGCCGUUGAUACUAUCUGCCUUGAAUAUUGUGGAGGUGAGCGGAAUAUGUCAUGUAGCGGUGAAAUGCUUAGAUAUGACAUAGAACACCAAUUGCGAAGGCAGCUCGCUACACAUAUAUUGACUCUGAGGCACGAAAGCGUGGGGAUCAAACAGGAUUAGAUACCCUGGUAGUCCACGCCC